AUGAGUCUCUAUCUCAUACAAAUUCCAGCGAGCCCCGCUCCGUCUUCAAAAUCACUCGUGGAUUCAUCUUUGAUUCGCUCAACUUAUGACGCCGCACAGCAGAAAAACAUACUCCUUUGUUUCAACUUUCCGCCUCUGUUUCGACCUCUUCAUUCAACCGUCGUCUCAAUGAUUCGAUCGCUCAACGAUUCAACCUCUGAAGCUUCCGUGCACGAAUUCCGCUUCAAUCACAGUUUCGCGACCUUCGCUCGCUUCCUCGUAGCGCUUCCGUCAGCUUCAAGUUUCGAAACUUCACAUUGCCUCUUUGCUCGCUCGCGAUUUCGCGUUAAAAUCCGAUCAUGA